rnacentral:rRNA from 1 species
GACCAGACUCCUACGGGAGGCAGCAGUGGGGAAUAUUGCACAAUGGGGGAAACCCUGAUGCAGCGACGCCGCGUGAGCGAUGAAGUAUUUCGGUAUGUAAAGCUCUAUCAGCAGGGAAGAAAAUGACGGUACCUGAAGAAGAAGCCCCGGCUAACUACGUGCCAGCAGCCGCGGUAAUACGUAGGGGGCAAGCGUUAUCCGGAUUUACUGGGUGUAAAGGGGGCGCAGACGGCGAUGCAAGCCAGGAGUGAAAGCCCGGGGCCCAACCCCGGGACUGCUCUUGGAACUGCGUGGCUGGAGUGCAGGAGGGGCAGGCGGAAUUCCUGGUGCAGCGGUGAAAUGCGUAGAUAUCAGGAGGAACACCGGUGGCGAAGGCGGCCUGCUGGACUGCGACUGACGUUGAGGCCCGAAAGCGUGGGGAGCAAACAGGAUUAGAUACCCGAGUA